GACGAACGCUGGCGGCGUGCUUAACACAUGCAAGUCGAACGGAAAGGCCCUGCUUUCGUGGGGUGCCCGGGUGGCGAACGGGUGAGGAACACGUGAGUAACCUGCCCUUGACUUUGGGAGGACUUCAGGAAACUGGGGCUAAUACAGUAUAGGAGCUCCUGCUGCAGGGUGGGGGUGGGAAAUUUUCGGCGGGUGGGGAUGGACUCGCGGCUUUUUAGUUUGUUGGUUGGGUAAAGGCCUACCAAGGCGACGGUCGGUAGCUGGCCUGAGAGGGUGAUCAGCCACACUGGAAUUGAGACACGGUCCAGACUCCUACGGGAGGCAGCAGUGGGGAAUAUUGGACAAUGGGCGCAAGCCUGAUCCAGCCAUACCGCGUGGGUGAAGAAGGCCUUCGGGUUGUAAAGCCCUUUUAGUGGGAAAGAAAAGCAGCAGGUUAAUACCCCGCUGUUCUGACGGUACCAAAAGAAUAAGCACCGGCUAACUUCGUG
rnacentral:rRNA from 1 species